UCCGGUUUGACACCUGUGAUGGUGUCCCGAAGGAAGGAUGUGUUUCCACACCUGUCACCAACAUGUCAAACCCAGGUAAGGUUCUUCGCGUUGCGUCGAAUUAAACCACAUGCUCCACCGCUUGUGCGGGCCCCCGUCAAUUCCUUUGAGUUUCAGCCUUGCGGCCGUACUCCCCAGGCGGGGCACUUAAUGCGUUAGCGCCGGCACCCAGGGGGUCGCUCCCCCAGGCACCUAGUGCCCAUCGUUUACGGCGUGGACUAC
rnacentral:misc_RNA from 1 species